rnacentral:rRNA from 1 species
GGUAACACGGGGGGAGGUGCGGGGGUCAGACAGAGGGGGGAAGUGUUAUUCGGGAUGUUUGGGCGGAAAGGGUGCGGAGGCGGUUGCUUAAGUGAGAGGUGUAAUCCCCGGGCGUAACCUGGGAACUGGAUCUCAUACUGGGGGGGUAGAGGACUGGAGAGGGUGGUAGAAUUCCACGUGUAGCGGUGAAAUGCGUAGAUAUAUGGAGGAACACCAGUGGCGAAGGCGACUCUCUGGUCUGUAACUGACGCUGAGGCUCGAAAGCGUGGGGAGCAAACAGGAUUAGAUACCCCUGUAGUC